UCCCAGGGAUAGCGAAGUUGGUAGAGCAUGAGACUCUUAAUCUCAGGGUUGUGGGUUGGAGCCCCAUGCUGGGGGAA